AUUUUGUGCAUCUUCUUUCUCUUUCCAUCAAAACGUGGCCUAGACUACAUCACAUGCCAAAUCACAUUAAUUAUUCUUGUUGUUAUAUGAUGGUUAUUGUGAUAAUUAUGAUAAUAAUAUAAGAAAUAUAAAAUACAGAAAAAAGGGCAAAAACAUGGAGCAAGCCCUAGGCAUCAUACAACUUAAAUUAUGUUAACGUCAAAGGCGUUUUGAGACAUUUAAUAAAUUUAAUUGACAUCCUGUGUCAAAAGAUUCUGGGGACUGUCCAGAAAAAUCCCAAAAAUAAAGUGCAUCGCUUAGAAUAGUCAAUAAUCACGGA
rnacentral:lncRNA from 1 species